CUUGAGGAAUGUUUAUUCUGAGGGGACGGCAUGUCCCUUAUAAAGCAAAAUUACAUCAUAUGCUUUGUCAGAGAUAACAUGGAAUAAUACAUCAAUAAUUGGUUAGGUGUUAAGUGGUUCAUUUAGUGCUCUUCCUACCGGGUGUGAUGUCACUGGUAUCUUGGAGGUCUCCCCCAGAUUCCAGCGCCAUCUUGUUAAUGAGGGUGUUAGUCGAUGUCAAAGGGAAACUCCCUAGUGGCCAUUUUAGGUAAAUCACAUAGAAAGUUGAAUAAUGCUGAUUGUAGUUAUACUGAGUAAAUAGGCAUUUUACCAACAUGGAUUGGGUUAAUAUUUU
rnacentral:lncRNA from 1 species